rnacentral:rRNA from 1 species
UACGUAGGGUGCAAGCGUUGUCCGGAAUUAUUGGGCGUAAAGAGCUCGUAGGCGGCUCGUUGCGUCGGCUGUGAAAAACCCGCAGCUCAACUGUGGGCUUGCAGCCGAUACGGGCGGGCUAGGAUUCGGUAGGGGAGACUGGAAUUCCUGGUGUAGCGGUGAAAUGCGCAGAUAUCAGGAGGAACACCGGUGGCGAAGGCGGCCUUCUGGACAGUGACUGACGCUGAGACGCGAAAGCGUGGGGAGCAAACAGG